AUGGAUGUGGCUCAGUGGUAGAGUACUUGCCUGGCAUGUGAGGCCCUGGGUUCAAUCCUCAGCAUCAUG
rnacentral:tRNA from 1 species